GCCAGGCACAGUGGUGCAUGCCUGUAAUCCCAGUGGCUUGGGAGGCUGAGGCAGGAGGAUCUCAUGUUCAAAGCCAGCCAGCCUCAGCAACUUAGCAAGGCCCUUAGCAAUUCAGUGUGACCCUGUCUCUA
rnacentral:sRNA from 1 species